CAAUAGCGUAUAUUAAAGUUGUUGCAGUUAAAAAGCUCGUAGUUGGAUUUCUGGUGGGAGCGAUCGGUCUGGCGCUUAGCGCGAGUACUUGCAUCGUCUCCGGCCAUCCUUGGGGAGAGUCUGUCUGGCAUUAGGUUGUCGGGCAGAGGAUCCUCAUCGUUUACUGUGAAAAAAUUGGAGUGUUCAAAGCAGGCUUAUGCCGUUGAAUAUAUUAGCAUGGAAUAAUAAGAUGGGACUUUGGUACUAUUUUGUUGGUUUGCGCACCAAAGUAAUGAUUAAUGGGGACAGUUGGGGGUAUUCGUAUUCCGUUGUCAGAGGUGAAAUUCUUGGAUUUACGGAAGACGAACUACUGCGAAAGCAUUUACCAAGGAUGUUUUCAUUAA
rnacentral:rRNA from 1 species